CCUACGGGAGGCAGCAGUGGGGAAUUUUGGACAAUGGGCGAAAGCCUGAUCCAGCAAUGCCGCGUGAGUGAAGAAGGCCUUCGGGUUGUAAAGCUCUUUUGUCAGGGAAGAAACGGUGAGAGCUAAUAUCUCUUGCUAAUGACGGUACCUGAAGAAUAAGCACCGGCUAACUACGUGCCAGCAGCCGCGGUAAUACGUAGGGUGCAAGCGUUAAUCGGAAUUACUGGGCGUAAAGCGUGCGCAGGCGGUUUUGUAAGUCUGAUGUGAAAUCCCCGGGCUCAACCUGGGAAUUGCAUUGGAGACUGCAAGGCUAGAAUCUGGCAGAGGGGGGUAGAAUUCCACGUGUAGCAGUGAAAUGCGUAGAUAUGUGGAGGAACACCGAUGGCGAAGGCAGCCCCCUGGGUCAAGAUUGACGCUCAUGCACGAAAGCGUGGGGAGCAAACAGGAUUAGAUACCCUGGUAGUCCACGCCCUAAACGAUGUCUACUAGUUGUCGGGUCUUAAUUGACUUGGUAACGCAGCUAACGCGUGAAGUAGACCGCCUGGGGAGUACGGUCGCGAAGAUUAAAACUCGAAAAGAGUUAGACGGACGUGAGAGACGACGACGACGACGACGAGGGAGGAGGAG
rnacentral:rRNA from 1 species